rnacentral:misc_RNA from 1 species
AGUGCAGUGACAACCGUGAGGAUGAAAACGUCUGCCCAAGUCCACUGCGUUUUCAUGCUACUUCUUAUACGGACAACGGGAGUGCUACUCUCUUCUUGUGGAGAAUCAAACUUUAAUGAGACCCUGAGAAAAGAAGAAUACGAUUUUGUAAACAUGAGCUAUACAUUCAAUGUAACAAGAAGCACCAAUUCGCUAGAUAGAUUUCACGCUGCGUAUGAGGUUUGUGAAAAUAACCUGAAGAAAUUAAGUUGCAGUCUACGUUGGGAAAACAGUAUGAACUCGUUCGAUAGGAAGGACAUGAGUCGAAAGAGAGGGGUUAUUUGUUAUGGAGAAGAACGAAACCUGAGUAGUUCUGAAGUGGCUUUAGAUAUUCACAUUUUUCAGCGUGUCACGAGGUCACUGAGUGCGAUGAUAUUCUCUGCUAGUGCAGGCAGGACAUCCAGGCCAAAACGGCUGAUACGUGUUGAGGUGUUGUACCCACCGAAAAUGACAAGUAUGACUGUGGAUGGACAUGAGGUUAAAGAUAACUACGUCAUAGAUGAGGGUCAUAAGGUUGAUAUUUCCUGCGCCUUUGAGACAGGGAACCCACCAGUCAUUUUUCAGCUUUUGGAUCAUUUGUUGCUGAAAUCGUCUGGUAAUCAAGGACAUCUGAACUAUUCACUCACUGCCAGGUGUGAAGACGAGUGGCCUAUAAUCAGUUGUCAAGGAAGUGGGUCAACCAGGAACAGAUCUGUGACCUUCCUCGUGGCAUGUCCUCCUCAGUUUGUUGACAGCUCUGUGAAGUUCGUCAGUGUACAAAUCUUUGAAGCCAUAACAUUUCGUGUGAAGGCUCACACAGCGGCACUAACCGGAUGUGUCUUGACCCCAGUGUCAUUAGGCAACAAUAUCAGAAGGGGAGUAAGUUGUUUCCUAAGUGGUAACCCACCUGAUCUCGUCUUGAGUGUUUACCUUUACAAGGAAAUAAACAUCAGCCAAGGAAACUGGUCGUUGAUUCUUCAUAAUGAAAAAGGUUCUGCUAACACUACCUUGUGCUUCAUAGAUGGUCCCAGUCCAACACGAGGCCAUCGUCUAAAGAAGCUUUAAGAAAAUGUCAAACAACAAACGACCAAGAGGUGGUUCGUGAUGCUGAGUGGAAGGAUGCCCCUUUGCGAAGAGAAAAAACUGUUUUCCGUGGGCAAGUGGAUACAAAAGAUCAACAGCUCUCGUUCAUGCUAUUUCCUGCUCAAACAAAAGCUUCAGUCCGUUUAAACUUGACAGUCUUGAGAUAUUUUAAAGAAAGGGCAUGAAAAGGUACUUUUGGAAAAUUCAUAGGACUAGAAGGCAUCAGCACGCCAGCUAGAUGAAGGCUUUAAAAUCAAUUACAACUCCCAAAACCACUAGACCAAGCUUGUAAAUGUAAUAAUGGAAAUAAGUUUUGAAAUAUUCUAGUUUUAUUAUGAUAACCUACUGUUUGUAGACUGGUUCUA